rnacentral:rRNA from 1 species
UACGGAGGGUGCAAGCGUUACUCGGCAUCACGGGGCGUAAAGGGCGCGUAGGCGGCCUAGCAAGCCUGGUGUGAAAGCCCAGGGCUCAACCCUGGAAGGGCACUGGAAACUGUUAGGCUUGAGUUCCGGAGAGGAGGGGGGAAUUCCCGGUGUAGCGGUGAAAUGCGUAGAUAACGGGAGGAAUACCGGUGGCGAAGGCGCCCCUCUGGACGGAAACUGACGCUGAGGCGCGAAAGCGUGGGGAGCAAACAGG